rnacentral:rRNA from 1 species
CAUCCCACCUGGGGAGUACGCCGGCAACGGUGAAACUCAAAGGAAUUGACGGGGGCCCGCACAAGCGGAGGAACAUGUGGUUUAAUUCGAUGAUACGCGAGGAACCUUACCCGGGCUUGAAUUGCAGACGCAGGAUACAGAGAUGUUGACUCCCUUCGGGGCGUCUGUGAAGGUGCUGCAUGGUUGUCGUCAGCUCGUGCCGUGAGGUGUCGGCUUAAGUGCCAUAACGAGCGCAACCCCUUUCCUUAGUUGCCAUCAGGUCAUGCUGGGCACUCUGGGGACACUGCCACCGCAAGGUGUGAGGAAGGUGGGGAUGACGUCAAAUCAGCACGGCCCUUACGUCCGGGGCUACACACGUGUUACAAUGGCCGGUACAGAGGGACGGUGUAAUGUAAGUUGCAUCCAAUCUUGAAAGCCGGUCCCAGUUCGGACUGAGGUCUGCAACCCGACCUCACGAAGCUGGAUUCGCUAGUAAUCGCGCAUCAGCCAUGGCGCGGUGAAUACGUUCCCGGGCCUUGUACACACCGCCCGUCAAGCCAUGAAAGCCGGGGGUGCCUGAAGUUCGUAACCGCGAGGAGCGACCUAGGCAAAAAACUUUGGG